GUUCCUAUAGCUCAGUAGGAUAGAGCACUCGCCUCCUAAGCGAGGGGUCAGAAGUUCGAAUCUUCUUAGGAACGCCA
rnacentral:tRNA from 1 species